GGCCCGUUGGCGCAAUGGUAGCGCGCCAGAUUCCAGUACUUGGAAUGUCCUGGAGGUUACCUGUUCAAAUCAGGUACGGGUCA